rnacentral:rRNA from 1 species
UACGGGGGGGGCAAGCGUUGUUCGGAAUUACUGGGCGUAAAGGGCUCGUAGGUGGCCAACUAAGUCAGACGUGAAAUCCCUCGGCUUAACCGGGGAACUGCGUCUGAUACUGGAUGGCUUGAGUUUGGGAGAGGGAUGCGGAAUUCCCGGUGUAGUGGUGGAAUGCGUAGAUAUCGGGAGGAACACCAGUGGCGAAGGCGGCUUCCUGGACCGGUUCUGACACUGAGGAGCGAAAGCGUGGGGAGCGAGCCGG